UACGGGGGGGCAAGCGUUGUUCGGAAUUACUGGGCGUAAAGGGCGCGUAGGCGGCCUGCUAAGUCGGAUGUGAAAUCCCUCGGCUCAACCGAGGAACUGCAUCCGAUACUGGCGGGCUUGAAUCCGGAGAGGGAUGUGGAAUUCCAGGUGUAGCGGUGAAAUGACGUAGAUAUCUGGAGGAACACCGGUGGCGAAGGCGGCAUCCUGGACCGGUAUUGACGCUGAGGCGCGAAAAGCGUGGGGAGCAAACAGGG
rnacentral:rRNA from 1 species